AGGACUAUAUGAGGGAUCACGAAUCACCAAAUAUCCCAUUUACCAUUUUACGAACACGUUUUCCUGAUGCGCCAGAGUUGGUCAUUUACGAUAAUGCCUGCAGAUUGCACGAGUAUUGUUUGAACCGAGAUCCAGCAUGUUUUAAGAAAGCAAAAUUUGUUGUUGAUAAGUUUCAUUGGAAAAAUCAUUCAGCUAAACUGCCAUACUCUUCCUAUUUUACUUGAAGCGAACUUAUUGAUCCAAAUAUGGCCGUUUUUAUGUUCUCACAAAAUUUGUUGAUUUAUAACUGUCCUUUAUGUGUAGGAUGCUGCGAAGGAUAUAACAUGAAAUUGUAUCCCACGCUCAAUAUGUACAAUAAACAAGCUGCUGAACAGUGCAA